rnacentral:lncRNA from 1 species
GAAUAAAUAACAAUGGGGAUGUUACUGUAGCAAGUCUUUUAAGGGGGGGUCUAAACAUAAUUUUCUUUUUUGAGAAAUUGCCAAAGGACCCUUAUGCACAUUUCCCCCUUGCGGUCGACUUCUCCUCCAAUUUCUGUUUUCCAGCCGCCAUUGGAUGUUGACCUCCGGCCAAGGGAAGUUUUCGACGUCAUCAGCAUCGUGACGCCUCCUUUCCCUACCUGAAGCCGCCGGUAGCAUCGAGGGAGAAGGAAAGAAGAUUGUCCCUCUGCUGCCGGCGUUUUCCUGCCAAUCAAAUGCUAGAAAUAAUUUCCCCGCCCCCUAAAACCCAACCUGGACAAUUGCAGCCUCUGACACUACCUCUAGACCAGUGAUCGAAGUGGGUGUGGUUUCGCUGGACUUGUUCAAUUUUUGGUGUUUUUGGUGCCCUUCCGGUGGUCAUUUAGAGAAGGUAGCUGCAUAUCCAGACUCUUAUCACCCCGAUCUACAAAUUGGCAUCCUCGGAUUCAAUUUUCAUCACUGUCAAAAAAUUCCAGCGAACAGACUCUGGUGACCUCGUGACGCGUGCUGGCAGGCAGAAAAGUCCGUCUCGGCUUCUCGAUUUAUCAUGUGCUAAUUUUGCAAAUUUAACUCGUCCUGGUAAAAAUAUUAGACUCGAGAAAUUAAUUUAAUUUGACUUAAUAUUUGUUUAUAGUUAUAUAAUUUAUUUAAUUAGUGGUUUUAAUGUAGUUAAUUCUUAUAAAUUAAUUAUUAAUUUUAUUGUGGCUUAAUUUUUGGAUAAUUUAAAUUAUCAGUUAGUUAGAUACGUUAGAUUUUGGCUUAUGAUUAAAUUAAAAAUUUUGAGAAAUUAUUUAUGAAUUGAUUGUGAAAUAAAUAUUUAUGUUGGGUUGUUAUUUAAUAUUUGUGAUAUAAGUUGUGUUGCGGAAUCGGAAAAAUAAUGCAGAUAUAGGUGACCUGACUCCUGUUAAAUAAUUGAUGAACAUUAGAAGUGUUUUUAGAAGGUUCUGGAUCUGUUAUACGGGGAGUAAACGUCUGAUUUUAUGAGAGGUUCUAUCGAAUUUUCAAUAGAAUUUUCAAGUUGGAAUCAAUCAAAUUUUUUUUUUUUUUGAAUUUUGAUAUAAUACGCAUGUAACUAUUACAAGAGUCGUUACAAUUGAAUUUUGAUAUAAUUAAAUUUUGAAUUUUCUAUAAUAUUAUAUAUUAUUUAAAUAAUUAUUUUAUAUAGAUGGUUGCUUUUAUUUCAGAUUAUAUGAUUUUAACUCACUCUCGAGACUGACAGUCUCAAUUUAAUAAUUUUUUUAGGUGUCAGCUUGGUCUUCUACAGUUCCUCUCGUUCAGGCAGCCCGACUCUUUCCUUCCUCGGACUUAAUGUAACUAUUUUUCUUGUAUUUCUAAUUACUUAAAUUUCUAGAUAUUUUGCAAUAUUUGCAUUCAGACUUAAUAUUUCUAUUCGACAUAAUGAACAAUCUAAUGAUGUAUUAAUUUUAUUAUUGUUGAUGAACCGAUAUAAAUUCUAUUGUAAUUGUAUGGAUGGAUAUUAAUAGAUAAAGUAUUUGGUAUAUUAAAUGAAAUUAUAUUUUAAUUAAUUUAUUGAUCAGUCAUACUUGCUAGGAAUUUCGGUGGCUUUAUGCCUACCUAUUUCCUAGCGCCGAUUACGGACCCACAAAUUGGAACGUGAUAAUCUUUUUCUCUUAAUCAGUUAACAUCAUCAAUCUCAUUUCAAGCAUUGCACUAUUGUUUUACAUGUUUGUGCCAAUGCUAG